rnacentral:tRNA from 1 species
GGCUCGGUGGUCUAGGGUAUGAUUCUCGCUUAGGGUGCGAGAGGUCCCGGGUUCAAAUCCCGGUCGAGCCC